ACUCUCACCCUUUUCAUUUACCUUUCACCUGCUGCCUCUCUCCUUCUAAGAAAGGGAGAAAAUCCUCCCGAGCCUCACCGAAAUAGAAAGCUAAGGCUCUCCGAUCGCCGUAUAUCGGCGGUUACAGGGAGCGAACAAACUCCUAAAGACCCCCGAUUCUCCCUCCUCCUUACUUACCCUAAAAACCCGACCCUUCAAAAACUCAAAACCCCAAAAACCUUCUUCUAGAAACCCUAAAGACCUAGAAAUCUUUACAUCCGAUCGUGGCUCUCCUGGUCUCCGAUAAAGCCGAAUUGUCUUGGACCUUGCCAGCAGGAUUCAUUGGUGGUUGCUCAAACGGUGGGAAACUGAAGAGUCGGGCGCAUGCACUACACGCGUCGGUUGGGCAGUCUCUCUUGGUCGGCGGCGACGACUAGAUGAUACUAAGCUUUGGAUGCAUCUGGACUGUUGGAUGGGUCCAGAUCCAAUGGCUGGAGAUGGGAGGCCGCUGGCUGUUGAGAUGAACCCCUAAUCGGGUUUGGGCCCAAGAGCAAUUCAGUUGGGCUUGCUGGGUUAUCCGGGUGGGCUGAUGGAUCUCCAUUGGGCUUGAUUAUAGUUUUUAAAUCUUGGGCUCCAUUGGAUAUGUAAAAUGUAAAAGAUAAUAACAAUAAUAAUAAUAAUAAAUAAUAAGUAAUUAAAACCCGGA